GCAGCCAAGAACUGGAGGGGACCCCUUGAUAUAAUUACGUGCUACUAGCCCUAGAACGGAGUUCAGAGUGUAUGCAAUGGGGAAGAAGAAAGGAGGAGAAACCCAUACGCCCAGCGAACAAAGGGAAGGGCACAAUUUGCUCGGCUCACCGACUUUCGAGCAUCUGGAGAACGGACGGUACAAAUGUGUCGAAACGGGCCACGAGCUGCCGGCUCACGCCAGAGACUCUUACGCUGAGUCCAAGCACUGUCGCCUGGGCCUCAUCGACUCUGCCCUGGCCGGCAAAAAGCCUCCUCUCAACAUGUUCCGACAGGACCCUGCUUCACGUUCGAAGUUAAUAUGCAGAUUAACGGGAGUUACGAUCAAUAAGACGGAGGAGCAUAUAUGGAAGCAUAUAAAUGGGAAGCGCUUUCUCAACAUGUUAGAUAAAAUGGAGGCUGAAAAAGAAAUGCCGAAUGGGACAAUGGAAAAGCAGGAUAAGGGAAAAGAGAAGAAGAAAAAGAAGAAGAACGAAGAUGGUGGUUUGAAGAAGAAGAUAGAGAAAGAGGAAGAACAUGUUGAUGAGAUUAUCAAUGAAGUAAGAGAUUCUACAGGCAAGAGUAGUGAUUCCGAAACUGAAGCUGACUUUUGGAUGCCUCCUGUUGGGGAACGCUGGGACCAUGAUGAUGGGGGUGAUAGAUGGGGCUCUGGUUCUGAGUCAGGACCAGAGAGUGAUGAUGCUGGUGAAGAAGAUUUGGGAGCUGAAGAAACAAAACAUGAAGCUGGGGAGCUAUCAAGAAGGACAAAGCGAAUGUCCCUAGAAAUUGGACCUAGUAGCUUUGCCUCGAGGAAGAAGAAAAAGAAGACCAAUGUUGCGUGAAAAGUAUAGCACCCGAGAUCCAAACCCAGUGCAGAUGCAUCAAACCCUGUUUUAGUUGCAAAAUAUGCACAUCUCAACAUCAUAGUGUAUACACUGGAAGACAAGGGUGACUCCUAAUCCAUGAUGAAGCAUUGCAACUACAAAUAAGGUGAAGAGGAGGACAUUCUUGUGCAAUCUAAAGUCAUAAUUCAUCUACAUAUCUCCUGAUUUAGGAACGCUCGAGUACCACCAAUGCCAAAAUAGCAAUCACCAAGCUCUUCAAUCACGAAUUCUCAUUCAGUAUCUCCAGUUCCAAAAUAACGAUCACCAAACUCGCCCAUGCCUGGUAGUA